rnacentral:rRNA from 1 species
GAGUUUGAUCCUGGCUCAGAUUGAACGCUGGCGGCAGGCCUAACACAUGCAAGUCGAACGGUAACAGGAAGAAGCUUGCUUCUUUGCUGACGAGUGGCGGACGGGUGAGUAAUGUCUGGGAAACUGCCUGAUGGAGGGGGAUAACUACUGGAAACGGUAGCUAAUACCGCAUAACGUCGCAAGACCAAAGAGGGGGACCUUCGGGCCUCUUGCCAUCGGAUGUGCCCAGAUGGGAUUAGCUUGUUGGUGGGGUAACGGCUCACCAAGGCGACGAUCCCUAGCUGGUCUGAGAGGAUGACCAGCCACACUGGAACUGAGACACGGUCCAGACUCCUACGGGAGGCAGCAGUGGGGAAUAUUGCACAAUGGGCGCAAGCCUGAUGCAGCCAUGCCGCGUGUAUGAAGAAGGCCUUCGGGUUGUAAAGUACUUUCAGCGGGGAGGAAGGGAGUAAAGUUAAUACCUUUGCUCAUUGACGUUACCCGCAGAAGAAGCACCGGCUAACUCCGUGCCAGCAGCCGCGGUAAUACGGAGGGUGCAAGCGUUAAUCGGAAUUACUGGGCGUAAAGCGCACGCAGGCGGUUUGUUAAGUCAGAUGUGAAAUCCCCGGGCUCAACCUGGGAACUGCAUCUGAUACUGGCAAGCUUGAGUCUCGUAGAGGGGGGUAGAAUUCCAGGUGUAGCGGUGAAAUGCG